rnacentral:rRNA from 1 species
AACGAACGCUGGCGGCGCGCCUAACACAUGCAAGUCGAACGAGAAUCCGGGGCAACCCGGUAGUAAAGUGGCAAACGGGUGAGGAAUACAUGGGUAACCUACCCUUGAGAAGGGAAUAACCCGCCGAAAGGUGAGCUAAUACCCUAUACGCUAUCUUUUUUUCGAAAGGAAUAGAAAGACCGGGUCGAGGACCUGGUACUCAAGGAGGGGCGUCAUGUCCUAUCAGCUUGUUGGUGGGGUAACGGGCCUACCAAGGCUACGACGGGUAGCUGGUCUGAGAGGAUGAUCAGCCACACUGGCACUGAGAUACGGGCCAGACUCCUACGGGAGGCAGCAGUGAGGAAUAUUGCGCAAUGGGCGAAAGCCUGACGCAGCGACGCCGCGUGGGGGAGUGAAGGUUUUCGG